rnacentral:lncRNA from 1 species
GGAGCCCGAUGUGAGGCUCGAUCCCAGGACCUUAAGAUUAUGACCUGGGCUGAAGGCAGACACUUAAACGACUGAGCCAUGCAGGUGCCCCUAAAAUUUAAAUUUUAGUUAAUGAACAUACACUGUAAUAUUGGUUUCUGGAGUCGAAUUCAGUGAUUCAUCACUUACACACAGAGUCCAUGUUCCUCACCCACGAAACUAAUAAUUCUCUCUCUUGUUUGACUUUGCUUCUCUCCAAUUAUGAGUGAGGUUGAUGACCAUUUUAUGUGUUUGCUAAACUUCAGAUUUAUCUUUGUGAACUGCCUGAAUAUGCUUGUCUCAUUGACUCAUCAUUAUGUAAUUGUGCUUAUUUUUAUUGGUUUGCAGAGGUUUCUGUAUAUAUUCUGAAAAGCGAAUACUAUUUAGUGUAUAUAGGAUGCAACCAUUUUCUCCAAGUCAAGAGCUCAGCUUUUCUUUUUCUUAUGUCAUUUUGAGUUUUUUUUAAAAAUUCAUCACGCAUUAUUUUUUCCAUCAUGGUUGUCUUUAAUUUUUUAUUGAAGUAAUUCUUUCCUGUUUCAAAAUCAUAAAGAUAUUUCUUCACGAUUUCUUCUUAAUAUGUCUUUCUUUUAUUUUUCCAUACAGAUAGCCAAUUUUACCAGUAAUAUUUAUGGAAAAUUCUAUCCUUUGCUGCACUGAAUCAUAAUGUCACCUGCAACAUUUAUCAUUUUUCCUACAUGUAAAGUUAUUCGGGGGCUCUUUAUUCCUUUCCAUUGAGAUAUUCCAUCUCCUCAUAGAUAGCAAAAUAGUUUAACUGCAAUAUCUUUUUAGUAAGUCUUAUCAUCUAGUGGGUUGAAUUUUCUCCCAUGCAAUUAGAAUACUAACACUUGGAUAUAUUCAUUUCUUCAGCUUUCCAUGUAAAAUUUCGGAUCAAUUUGAAUAUGCAAAAACACAAAACAACAACAAAACAACAACAAAAGGCAAACACCAACUUGUGGAUUGGGGAUAAUUUGAAUGCAUGGAUUAAUUUAGGGAGAACUGACAUUUUUAUUUUAUUGAGUCUUUGCAGACAUAAACUGGCAAACAUGGCAAAUCUCUCAAUCCCUUGUGUUUUUUUAUGUCUUUUUUGAGAUCUAAUAUAUUUUUUCAUAAAAGUCCCAUAUAAUAUGGGUUAGAUUUAUUCUUAAGCACCUUAUUUUUUGUUUUUAUUGUAAAUAACUCUUUUGAAGUUAGAUUUUCUAAUUAUUCAUUCCAGGCAUUUAUGAAAGCUAUAGAUUCUUAUGACAGUAGGCUUCCUUAUGUUGUUGCUCCUUUAAAAUGAAAUGUCUUUAACAUUUCCUCAUUAAAAAUGAUACAGGUUUUGAAAGAUAAUCUAUAGCAAAGUUAAGGACAUUCUUUUCUAUUCCUAAAUUUAAAAAGAUUUUUUAAAGUUUUUAUUUUAGCUCCAGUGCAGUUAACAUACAGUUUCAGGUGUACAGUACAGUGAGUCACCCCUUCCAUACAACACCCAGUGCUCACCCGACAAAGCCCUCCUUAAUCCCCAUCACCCAUCCCACCCACCCCCACCCACCUCCCUUCUGGUGACCAUCAGUAUGUUCUCUAGAGUUAAGAGUCUGUCUUGGUUUGCUCCUCUCCCCUGUUCUCCCCUUUGUUCAUUUUUUUUGUCUCUUAAAUUCUGCAUAUGAGUGAAAUCAUAUGGAACCUGUCUUUCUCUGACUGACUUACUUUGCUUAGCAUAAUACUCUCUAGCUCCAUCCAUGUCAUUGCAAAUGGCAAGAUUUCCUUCUUUUUUUUUGGGGGGGGGCUGAUUAACAAAUAUCCCAUUGUAUAUAUAGACCACAUCUUUAUCCGUUUAUCAGUUGAUGGACACUUGGGCUGUUUCCAUAAUUUGGCUAUUAUAGAAAUGCUGCUCUGGGCAAUGGGGUUUCUCACUGAGUUAGUAUUUUUGUAUUUUUUGAGAAAAUACCUAGUGGUACAAUUGCUGGAUCAUAAGGUAGGUCUAUUUUUACCUUCCCAAGGAAGCUCCAUACUGUUCUUCAGAGCACCUACCCCAGUUUGCAUUUCCCAUAGUGAAAGAGGGUUCCCCUUUUUCCACAUCCUCGCUCAUCUCCAAUUACACCUCAGUAGAGGUGCUUCAACCAAACUGGUCUCUUUCCUUUGUCUGUGAUCUCUCCUCUGUGUCUUUCCUCCUAUACCAUUUCCUGUCCCAUAAAGCCCCUCUUACUGCACUGUCUCUGCAGUUUCAGUGCCAUCCAUCUGCAUUUAUUAGGAUCAUGUUAGCUCUUAAAACAGACCAACUCUUCAAUUCUAAUGACAACACGAUAAAGAGUUUAUUUCUCGUUCAAUGAAGGUGCUCUUGGUCAGUGGUGUGGGGUGAGGUGUGGUCAGAGGAGUCAUCUACCUCACAAGGUCACUCAAGACCGCCCAUCUUCAGGUCAUCCAAGGGCAACCUGGUCAUCACUGUCCAGCUUGCAGAAAGGGAGGAGAUGGGAGAGAAGGGACACCACUUCCUGAUCCCAAGGGAGCCACAUACAUUCAUUGGUGAGAACGACUUUUAUGGCCCUGCAUAAUCUCAAGGGAAUUUUAGAAAAGAGGUCUAUGUGAUCAGUAGGGGCAUGAGCCUUUGAUGGGCAGUGAGUGGUCUCUGCCGAAUCAUCUGUCAUGACGCAUCUUUAUACCACCUUCCUAGUCAGAUAAGCAGUGUUUCCCAUUGGCCCUUUGUAGCAUUAAAAAAAAAAUCUAUUAGGGGGGUGGGUGCCUGGGUGGCUCAGUCAGUUAAGCAUCUGCCUUUGGCUCAAGUCAUAAUCUCCUACGGGAAUCAAGUCCUGCAAUGGGCUCACCAUUCAGCGGGGAGCCUGUUUCUUCCUCUCCCUUUGCCCUUCUCUCCACUCAUGUCGCUCUCUUUGUUUCUCAAAUAAAUACAUAAGGUCUUUUUAAAAAGACUUAGGAGCACCUGCGUAGCUCAGUCUGUUCAGCAUCAGCCUUUGGUUCAGGUCAUGAUUCCCUCCUCAGUGGGGGAGUCUGCUUCUCUCUCUGCCCCUGCCCAUGCACGUGCAUGCUCUCUCUCGCUCGCUCUCUCUCAUUCACUUCUCUCCCUAUAAUAAAUAAAUACAAUCUUUAAAAAUAAAAAAAAUAAAAA